rnacentral:rRNA from 1 species
GAUGAACGCUGGCGGCGUGCUUAACACAUGCAAGUCGAGCGGGCAAUUUAUCUAGCACUGAUUACUUCAAAUGGCUAUCGCCAGUGUAAUCAUGAAUUUCUACCUUAUAAUAAAGAAAAAGAAAUUCAUGUACGCAAAUAGUGAUAACACAUGAAAGAGGAGUGAUGAGUGCUGGAUAAAUUGCUAGCGGCGGACGGGUGCGUAACACGUGGGUAACCUGCCCCUAUCACUGGGAUAACACACUGAAAAGUGUGCUAAUACCCAGAUAACAUAAGCUUUUGGCAUCAUUAGCUUAUCAAAGAAUUUCGGAUAGGGAUGGGCCCGCGUCUGAUUAGCUUGUUGGUGAGGUAAUGGCUCACCAAGGCAACGAUCAGUAGCCGACCUGAGAGGGUGAUCGGCCACACUGGAACUGAGACACGGUCCAGACUCCUACGGGAGGCAGCAGUGGGGAAUAUUGCACAAU